UUUCUCAGACUAGCCAUGCACGUCUAGUACGAACUAAAUGAUGGUGAAACUGCAAAUGGCUCAUUACAACGGUUAUGAUGUACCCGGGAGUUCCGAUGGAUAUUUCCAGUAACACUAGAACUAAUACAUGUCCCUGCGUUUAUUAGUUUCGCACAGUCCGUCGCUGAGUCAUGGUAAACAGUUGAUCGACUCGACGUCCCGGAACAGUUUCCGCCCCAUCAGCUUCGAUGGUUGGGUAUUGGCCUACCAUUGCAACAACGGGUAACGAGGAAUUAGGGUUUGAUUUCGGAGAGGGAGCCUGAGAAACGGCUACCACAUCUACGGAUGGCAGCAGGCGCGCAAAUUACCCAAUGCAGACACUGUGAGGUAGUGACGAGAAAUAAUAAAGCGGGACUUCUGUUUCGCUAUUAUAAUGAGGAAUAACCAAAGGUCAUUCCGAUUAGCAACUGAUGGGAAAGUCUGGUGCCAGCAGCCGCGGUAAUACCAGCGUCAGUAGCAUA
rnacentral:rRNA from 1 species